UUAGAGAUGUAUGUGUCUUGCAUGGCUAAAUAUAAUAUUAUGUACUCCUGGACCACGUUUGGCGGUUCUCGCACGUCUAUAUUUGAUUCCAAACAUCAAACACAAAUAAUAUAGAAUAAACGAAGAAUUCGCCUCCUUCAAAACCGGAUUUAUCCUUACGAGUGAACGGUUCAAAUAGUAAAUAUUAUCUAGGUGAAAUUUAGUGUUUCGAUCGCUGCGCGGUGGUUUAAUUCGGG